rnacentral:rRNA from 1 species
CCCGUGGCGGCGUGCUAUACAUGCAGUCGAGCGGACAGAUGGGAGCUUGCUCCCUGAUGUUAGCGGCGGACGGGUGAGUAACACGUGGGUAACCUGCCUGUAAGACUGGGAUAACUCCGGGAAACCGGGGCUAAUACCGGAUGGUUGUCUGAACCGCAUGGUUCAGACAUAAAAGGUGGCUUCGGCUACCACUUACAGAUGGACCCGCGGCGCAUUAGCUAGUUGGUGAGGUAACGGCUCACCAAGGCGACGAUGCGUAGCCGACCUGAGAGGGUGAUCGGCCACACUGGGACUGAGACACGGCCCAGACUCCUACGGGAGGCAGCAGUAGGGAAUCUUCCGCAAUGGACGAAAGUCUGACGGAGCAACGCCGCGUGAGUGAUGAAGGUUUUCGGAUCGUAAAGCUCUGUUGUUAGGGAAGAACAAGUGCCGUUCAAAUAGGGCGGCACCUUGACGGUACCUAACCAGAAAGCCACGGCUAACUACGUGCCAGCAGCCGCGGUAAUACGUAGGUGGCAAGCGUUGUCCGGAAUUAUUGGGCGUAAAGGGCUCGCAGGCGGUUUCUUAAGUCUGAUGUGAAAGCCCCCGGCUCAACCGGGGAGGGUCAUUGGAAACUGGGGAACUUGAGUGCAGAAGAGGAGAGUGGAAUUCCACGUGUAGCGGUGAAAUGCGUAGAGAUGUGGAGGAACACCAGUGGCGA